rnacentral:rRNA from 1 species
CGUUCCCGGGCCUUGUACACACCGCCCGUCAAGCCAUGGAAGCUGGGGGUGCCUGAAGUCGGUGACUGCAAGGAGCUGCCUAGGGUAAAACUGGUAACUAGGGCU